GACGAACGCUGGCGGCGUGCUUAACACAUGCAAGUCGAACGAUGAAGCCCAGCUUGCUGGGUGGAUUAGUGGCGAACGGGUGAGUAACACGUGAGUAACCUGCCCUUGACUCUGGGAUAAGCGUUGGAAACGACGUCUAAUACCGGAUACGAGCUUCCACCGCAUGGUGAGUUGCUGGAAAGAAUUUUGGUCAAGGAUGGACUCGCGGCCUAUCAGCUUGUUGGUGAGGUAACGGCUCACCAAGGCGACGACGGGUAGCCGGCCUGAGAGGGUGACCGGCCACACUGGGACUGAGACACGGCCCAGACUCCUACGGGAGGCAGCAGUGGGGAAUAUUGCACAAUGGGCGAAAGCCUGAUGCAGCAACGCCGCGUGAGGGACGACGGCCUUCGGGUUGUAAACCUCUUUUAGCAGGGAAGAAGCGAAAGUGACGGUACCUGCAGAAAAAGCACCGGCUAACUACGUGCCAGCAGCCGCGGUAAUACGUAGGGUGCAAGCGUUGUCCGGAAUUAUUGGGCGUAAAGAGCUCGUAGGCGGUUUGUCGCGUCUGCUGUGAAAUCCCGAGGCUCAACCUCGGGUCUGCAGUGGGUACGGGCAGACUAGAGUGCGGUAGGGGAGAUUGGAAUUCCUGGUGUAGCGGUGGAAUGCGCAGAUAUCAGGAGGAACACCGAUGGCGAAGGCAGAUCUCUGGGCCGCUACUGACGCUGAGGAGCGAAAGGGUGGGGAGCAAACAGGCUUAGAUACCCUGGUAGUCCACCCCGUAAACGUUGGGCGCUAGAUGUGGGGACCAUUCCACGGUUUCCGUGUCGUAGCUAACGCAUUAAGCGCCCCGCCUGGGGAGUACGGCCGCAAGGCUAAAACUCAAAGGAAUUGACGGGGGCCCGCACAAGCGGCGGAGCAUGCGGAUUAAUUCGAUGCAACGCGAAGAACCCUACCAAGGCUUGACAUAUACGAGAACGGGCCAGAAAUGGUCAACUCUUUGGACACUCGUAAACAGGUGGUGCAUGGUUGUCGUCAGCUCGUGUCGUGAGAUGUUGGGUUAAGUCCCGCAACGAGCGCAACCCUCGUUCUAUGUUGCCAGCACGUCAUGGUGGGAACUCAUGGGAUACUGCCGGGGUCAACUCGGAGGAAGGUGGGGACGACGUCAAAUCAUCAUGCCCCUUAUGUCUUGGGCUUCACGCAUGCUACAAUGGCCAGUACAAAGGGCUGCAAUACCGUAAGGUGGAGCGAAUCCCAAAAAGCUGGUCCCAGUUCGGAUUGAGGUCUGCAACUCGACCUCAUGAAGUCGGAGUCGCUAGUAAUCGCAGAUCAGCAACGCUGCGGUGAAUACGUUCCCGGGCCU
rnacentral:rRNA from 1 species